AAUCAAUAACCACAAAUUAUACCCUCUAAGGGGGUAUGUUCUGUGUCAAUAACAUUAACAAAUUAAAUCAAUCGGCGACGUUAGAAAAGAUGCUUAAACUUUUGCGAAAAACAUAAUUAUUGUGCAUCUAGCGACAAAUUUGCAGGUGGAGUUAUGAACUGUUGAUACCUAAAGCACGAUUUAGCAGCAGAUAGUUAAUCAAUUUAAGCAUUUUCCACCUGCCACCAUCCGUUUUCUGAUACGUAACUGAAAUACAGUUGUUUUACAUAAAGGAAGUAGGUAGUUGAUAUCGGUCAACUGAACAGCACAGCGUCUGAUAAAUUGUUCGCCCCAUGGUU